rnacentral:tRNA from 1 species
GAGAAGAGUUGAAGAAACAAAGAAACUGCUAAUAUCUAAACCUGUGGU